rnacentral:SRP_RNA from 1 species
CGGUCCCUUCGCAACGAGAAACUACGAACUCCGCCAGGCCCGGAAGGGAGCAACGGUAGUAGUGGAUUCGUGUGCCGAGGUGUGGCUGGU